UUUCCCUCAGGAUAGCUGGCACUCGCGUGAGCGAGUCUCAUCUGGUAAAGCGAAUGAUUAGAGGCCUUGGGGCCGAAACGACCUCAACCUAUUCUCAAACUUUAAAUGGGUGAGAUCUCUGGCUUGCUUGAACGAUGAAGCCACGAGAUUUCGGAUCAGAGUGCCAAGUGGGCCAAUUUUGGUAAGCAGAACUGGCGCUGUGGGA
rnacentral:rRNA from 1 species